GACUCGGUGGCGGAUGGUCCGCGUCUGCUCAAUAUAUGAUUUUAUGAUGUGGUAUUAUUACAAGCAGAAGCUGUCGGUUCAAAUCCGGCUCGAGUCA